rnacentral:rRNA from 1 species
UACGAAGGGUGCAAGCGUUACUCGGAAUUACUGGGCGUAAAGCGUGCGUAGGUGGUGCGUUAAGUCUGUCGUGAAAGCCCCGGGCUCAACCUGGGAAUGGCGAUGGAUACUGGCGCGCUAGAGUGCGGUAGAGGAGAGUGGAAUUCCCGGUGUAGCAGUGAAAUGCGUAGAGAUCGGGAGGAACACCAGUGGCGAAAGCGGCUUCCUGGUCCGACACCGACGUUCAGGCACGAAAGCGUGGGGAGCAAACAGG